UGGGGAAUCUUGCACAAUGGGCGAAAGCCUGAUGCAGCGACGCCGCGUGGGGGAUGAAUGCCUUCGGGUUGUAAACCCCUUUCGGCAGGGACGAAGCGAAAGUGACGGUACCUGCAGAAGAAGUCCCGGCUAACUACGUGCCAGCAGCCGCGGUAAGACGUAGGGGACGAGCGUUGUCCGGAUUCAUUGGGCGUAAAGCGCGCGUAGGCGGCCGCGCAAGUCGGGUGUGAAAUCCCGGAGCUCAACUCCGGAACUGCACUCGAAACUGCGCGGCUUGAGGUAGGUAGGGGAGAUCGGAAUUCCUGGUGUAGCGGUGGAAUGCGCAGAUAUCAGGAGGAACACCGGUGGCGAAGGCGGAUCUCUGGGCCUUACCUGACGCUGAGACGCGAAAGCUAGGGGAGCGAACAG
rnacentral:rRNA from 1 species